UUUUUUUUUUUUUUUUUUGGUGGGGGCACACCCAUGGCAUAUGGCGGUUCCCAGGCUAGGGGUCAAAUCAGAACUUUAGCUGCCGACCUACACCACAGACACAGCAACGUGGGAUCUGAGCCACGUCUACGACCUACACCAUAGCUCAUGGCAAUGCUAGAUCCUUAACCCAUUGAGCAAGGGCUCAAACCCUCAUCCUCAUGGAUGCUAGUCAGGUUCUUCACUUGCUGAGCCACAACGGGAACUCCCGAAGAGACGUUUCGAUGGAAGAAUGCAUGUAAAGCACUUAGCAGAGUUUCUUUCGCAUAGUGCUUCACUCAGGAGCUCUUAGCUACAAGGUCUGCUUAUUAAAAAUUUCCUGCCUCACCCCGAUUUUACUCAUGCGUACAGAAGUAAGGAAGAGAGAGAAGCAGGGAGAAACCCAGACUGUUUGGUUGGCUCUCAUGUUGGCAACAGAAGGGCUGGUCCAAGUCCAUAAGCCCGACAUGCGUGGCCUCCUUGGCUCCGGCCACCUGCUCACCUGGAGGCUUUUUACACUCUGUAGGUAAUGCGGCCCCAGAGGGGACAAGUGCUGGCAUCGCGGCGACAGUGCGUGGGUGGGGGAGGGAGAAGCUCUCUAAGAUAUGUACACACACACACACACACACACACACACACACACACACACACACACUCCAGCUUGGAAACCCAAGGCAGAGGCUCAAAAUUCCCUCAAAAAAGAAGACUUUUUUUUUCUCCUUCUAAGUUUGGCCCGGCCAAUUCUAAUGAAAACACCUCUGAGUUCCAGAAUGAUGGUACGAAGGGGAAGGACCCCGCAUGGCUGCAAGGCGCCAGCUGCUCCUGCUGUGACCUGGACAGGAGGAUGGAGCCCUGGGCCUGCCCGGGAGGGUGGGUUCUAGUGCUCAGGCCUGGUGUGGAGGGGGUCCCCACAUCUCUGAGACCCGACAGAAGCAUCAUUUGAAGGGUGACAUGCCUUCUUGUUUUGUGGUGUCGUGUUUAGUUUUUUAAAAUCAAAUAGUAUCCGUGUAUGUGUCACUGCGCUGGGGUGCGUGUUGGCGCGGGAUGUGGUGAGAGACGGUAUCAGCCUCGCUGGGAAACUUAGUCCAAAUCAACAGCUAACAUUUUUCCUACCCAUCCUGAAAAUGCCAGGAUUCUCGGUCAUUCUGUGUGGCGGCGGGGGGGGGGGGUGUUGGUCUUUUUAUGUCUUUUUAAAGCUGCUCCUAUGGCAUAUGGAGGUGCCCAGCCUAGGGGUCCAACCAGAGCUCCUGCAAACCUCUAUAUGCCGUGGAUGUGGCUCUAAAAAGACGGAAAAAAAGAUAAGAAAACCAGGGAGUUCUGGUUGUGGCUCAGCGGGUCACGAACCUGGCUACAGUCUGUGAGGAUGAGGGUUCCAUCUCUGGCCUUGUUCAGUGGGUUAAGUAUUCAGCAUUGCUGUGAGCUGAGGUCUAGGUCAUUGAUGCAGCUCGGAUCCUGAGUUGCUGAAUGUGUUGUAGGCUGGCAGUUGCAGCUCUGAUUCGACCUGUAGCCCAGGGACCUCCGUGUGCUGCAGGUGUGGCCCUAAAAAGCAAACUAAAAAUAAAAUAAAAUAGAAUAAAAUAAAAUAACUAAAAUAAAAUAAAAUAAGACCCAGCCAUCUCCAGUCAGAAAAGAAGAGGCAAGAGUCUGGGCAGGUUGAAAUCCUCCCUUUGAUAGCAUCUCAUUUCCUAGAGCCGGUAUCCAGUCUUCUCCAUCCUGAACCCCCCGCCCCCAUUGGGGUGCACCACUGCGGGGCUGCUGCGGUGGCGAGGACUGGAGGGGGGCCACAUCCUGUUUACUGACAUAGCCCAAAGGUUUCUUCAUCCACGUCUCCAUCAAAGAAUUCACUUCUCUCUUUCGACUCUUCCCCAACACCUUCUCUCCCACAGCUUAGAUGGGGAACCCGGAGCACUUGCCCUGGGAGCUGGAGGACCCGAGCGAGGUCUGGUUCAUUCCUGCCACGUAUGAGCUCCCUGACCCGGCCCCACCUGCUCUGUCUGUUUAUCGGGAAGACCAGGAAAGCAGGAACUGCUGGCGUUGAAAGCACACGCUGCCCUGCAGGGUCCCUUCCGGUUCCAACAACCUCUCCUUUGUCUCAGCCUCCCCCUCCUCUCUCCAUGUAUUUCAUUUAUUUUCAUCCUUUUUUCUCUGUUUUUUUUUUUUUCUUGCUUAUAAAAUCUAGCUCGUGUGAGUCAUGUUCAUGUGGUCAUAAGAUAGUUGGUUCUUUGUCCCGCGUGAUAAUGAGCUCGGGAUCAUGCGGAUGAGCGCCGACGGCAAUCACAGCUCAUAUACGCGACUGAGGAGCAUUCCAGGGUGACCAACCAUCUACCGCUUGGCUUGGGCUGCCCUCUCGGGUACCCUUAGCUGGUUAGCAGGGUGGGCACAGCAGGCUUAACUGGGAAGCCUGGGCAGGAGUAGGAUCUGAGAGUGAGAACAAACGUUGAUCAAGCCUCCUCCACCAGUGCCAGCCUUUGUGAUCCAGCAUCAGCCUUUGCUGGAUGGUGACCCUAACGCUGCAAUGGCCCGUGUGGGGGCGAGGCGGGGGGGGGGAGGCUGUGGUUAGAAAGGGUCGUCACUGGCCAGGGGUUUUGGAAGGCUGAGCGCCUCAGGACCACGCAGGGUCCGUAUCUCGGGUCCAGAGAGGCUCAGCCCGGAGACCGGGCCACUUCUCUCCAGGUUCUGCUCUCCCUUUGCCCCACUCUGUGGGUAGCACUGCGCUCAGGAGAAGCCCUUGGAUGUUUGCAGGAUGAGGCUGGAUCCCACAGGAAGCCAAGCCCCGCAGGAAGGCAUCACCCUUGGGUUUUCCCCAUCCUGCAGCCCUGCCAUCUCUCCUGGAAUGAGAAAGGGAGGAAGAGACGAUUUCAAGGUUAUCCGUGACCGCUGUCCUCGGACUCAGGGCCUGCCCGCUCCCUCCCAACUCCUCUGCUGAUCUGGUCCCCGAGAGGCCCUUCCUCAUCCUCAGA
ensembl:lncRNA